GGUGUUACUCUCUAAUUUAGAGCUGCUAUUCAAUGUGAAAUUCAGGAUGUAGCAGUGGAGCUAAAAUACAAAUGUUUGGAAACUGUAUUUCAUCUGACCAUUUCAACAUGGGAAGAAAAAAUCACCAGCCAGCUAAGCAGAGAAGGAGAUAGUCCAGGUUUGUCUCAAAGAAAACCUGACCAAGAACAAGAUUCAAAGUGCCAGCAAAGGUCUUGGAGAGUUUCCUAGACUAACAAAUACCACUGAGGCCAGUUGCUUUCUUUAAGCCAUCUUAUCAAACAUUUAAAAAGCUUUCCUGGGAUUCAGAAAAGUGUUCCAACUCUUCAGAAAAUGAAGCACAACCAGAAACAGAUUUUUCCCUGUUAUGUCAGCAGAAUGAGCAUUAACCUGUCAGUAACCUGGAGAUAAGAAGGUUCACAGGAGGAUCUUUCCAGUGCCUAUAAAUAUCUGAUGGCAGGGGAUGUAGAGGCAGCCAGACUCUUCUCUGAAACACCCAUUGAAAGCACAACAGGCAAUGAGCAGAAAUUAAAAUUCAGAAAACUCAAUCGGAGCGCAAGAAAAUACGUUUUUACCAUGAGGAUGGUCAAACACUGGACCCAGCUUCCCAGAAGGAUUCAGAAUCUCACCAGUGGGCCUAUUAAAAAUCUGGCUGGACAUGACUCCAGGCUCCAUGCUGUGGGUGACCCUGCUAGAGCAGCAGAAUUUGACUGGAUGAUCUCAGGAGAUCUCAUCGUAUCUCAACUGUUCUGUGUGCAGUAGCCACUGUUUGAAUUGACUCUCAAAGUUAUAGCAUGCGUUGCAGUUCAGGAAAGCUUUUGGUGUCCAUAGAAACCCUUAAUCUUCUUCAGAUUGUAGAAAACAAAAUGAGAUGAGUGUGAAAGAGAGUCAAAAUGGUCUAGCAUUCCUGAAGCGGUCUUAGUUUGUGAUGUAACAAUAUUUUGUUUAAUCAGGAACAUAGUGGAAAAUUGACUGAAGCCAGACUCUCGGAGUUUCUGCUGAAUUCCCCAGACAUCCAAGCAGUUCCAGAGAUUUUUGUUUUUUAUCCUAAAUUAAAUCCAAGUCAAUUUGAAUUUGUGUUGCUUGCCUUUUUGACCAUUAGAACAAUAAGGUGAGUAAUGCCUCAAUGCUUUCAGAGGAUUGCUUUGCACUGCUUUCUUGUUCCACUUGAGAAUCUCUUAACAGGCUGCAGGGUCACUUCCUUACUUUCAAAUGCCAUCAAAUCUCAAGUAUUCUGUCUGGAACAUUUGGAAAUGGGAUAAGGACCAAUCUCAGGUCACCUUGUCUUUGAGAGCAAGGAACAUGUGGACUAGUCACGUCUCUAAGGAGCAGCAGAGGAAUCCCUCACAUUCCAAGGAAGAUGGAAGGGAGGCUGUUUGCAUGUGUUGAGGGCUAAACCGUUACAUGGGCUCUGGACACUGCAACACUUCAAAAACAACUGAAGUGCAAGGGAAGAGCAAUAAUCAUGCAGGAUAUAAAAAGCUCUUCAGACACCUCAGGUAAAAAGCAUAAAAGUUUAGGUAAUUCCUGAGUUAGAUGGCUAUUGAAGGUGCUUUUAAAAAUUAUGUUGGAAAGAAGCAUUAACAGAAGUAGUUAUGCUAAAUUCAGAUGCUUAUGUCUUACUGCAUGUGAAAAUAAAUGAGUUGCUCAGAGCCCAUGGAUCUGUCAGGGGAAAAGAUAAUUCUAGAUCUUCUGAA